rnacentral:rRNA from 1 species
CGUAGGGCGCGAGCGUUGUCCGGAAUUAUUGGGCGUAAAGGGCUCGUAGGCGGCUUGUCGCGUCUGCUGUGAAAACGCGGGGCUCAACUCCGCGCGUGCAGUGGGUACGGGCAGGCUGGAGUGCGGCAGGGGUGGCUGGAAUUCCUGGUGUAGCGGUGGAAUGCGCAGAUAUCAGGAAGAACACCGAUGGCGAAGGCAGGCCACUGGGCCGUCACUGACGCUGAGGAGCGAAAGCGUGGGGAGCGAACAGGAUU